CCUACGGGGGGCUGCAGUGGGGAAUAUUGGACAAUGGGGGCAACCCUGAUCCAGCCAUGCCGCGUGUGUGAAGAAGGCCCUCGGGUUGUAAAGCACUUUCAGUGAGGAAGAACGCCUGGUGGUUAAUACCCAUCAGGAAAGACAUCACUUACAGAAGAAGCACCGGCUAACUCCGUGCCAGCAGCCGCGGUAAUACGGAGGGUGCGAGCGUUAAUCGGAAUUACUGGGCGUAAAGCGCGCGUAGGUGGCUUGAUAAGCCGGUUGUGAAAGCCCCGGGCUCAACCUGGGAACGGCAUCCGGAACUGUCAAGCUAGAGUGCAGGAGAGGAAGGUAGAAUUCCCGGUGUAGCGGUGAAAUGCGUAGAGAUCGGGAGGAAGACCAGUGGCGAAGGCGGCCUUCUGGACUGACACUGACACUGAGGUGCGAAAGCGUGGGUAGCAAACAGGAUUAGAUACCCUGGUAGUC
rnacentral:rRNA from 1 species